rnacentral:rRNA from 1 species
UACGGGGGGAGCAAGCGUUGUUCGGAUUUACUGGGCGUAAAGGGCGCGUAGGCGGCCAGCACAAGUCAGUUGUGAAAUCUCCGAGCUUAACUCGGAAAGGUCAACUGAUACUGUGCGGCUAGAGUGCAGAAGGGGCAACUGGAAUUCUUGGUGUAGCGGUGAAAUGCGUAGAUAUCAAGAGGGAACACCUGCGGCGAAGGCGGGUUGCUGGGCUGACACUGACGCUGGAGGCGCGAAAGCUAGGGGAGCGAACGGG